UGAGGAAGUGGUUGGAGGUGAGGUCACAGACACAGAUGAUGUUGAUGACUUUUUCUCAGUAGUUCACAGCUAAGGGGAAGAAGUAGAAGGAGCAGUGGUUAAGGAGGGUUCCCAGAAAGAUUAGGAAUAGCAGUUCUGUGUAGUUAGGAGAGAUUUGCAGAUAUUUAAAUGCUGAGGGAUGGAUUCAGUAUAAAAGGAGAAGAUAAAGAAGACUGGAGAUUCUCACAUAGUCUCAGCUUAGGUUGUGCUAUUGAAUUUCCACCCCCAUGACCACAAGGGUUGCAUCACAUCUUCUAGGUCAUUGUUUUCUUUACAAUUGGCAACUCAUCUAGGUUUCUCACCAAAAAAUAUAUUGGACCAUUGAAGUGUCUGGAAAAGAAGCUUCUUUUAUGUUUGCUGGAAAUGUGGAAAGAAAAAUCUCUAGGAUCAUCUGGCAGCCAUCAUUCAACCAUGAGGAUAGAAGACCAUCAGAAGUGAGCUAAGUGGAACAAAGGGAUGCAACACAUCUGGAUAAUGUUAAUAUCUUUUGUAUCCCUGUAUUUACAUUCCAGAUCUAUUCUUG
rnacentral:lncRNA from 1 species